rnacentral:lncRNA from 1 species
AAGUGGGCAUUACAGGAGAAGGGUACCUUUCACAAGGGCUGUAAUCUAAAAUCUUGGGGAAGAUACAGCGUCAUCUGUCCAAGAGGUGUCAGCAGUAACGAAGCCUCAGUAGAAGCCAAAGUUAUUUUGGAUUACUGAGCCUGUAUAGUUUCCAGAUUCUCAAGAGAAAUAUAUGGGAAUGUAGAUAUCUCAGAGGACCUUCCUGCUGUCAGGAAUUCAGAGGAGGAAAUAAGGAAGGUAAUAGGUGCUCUGCUCUCAUUCUCUCAAACCCUCUUCCCUGUGUUUUCCUAUAGAGAUUGCUGAUUUGCUCCUUAAGCAAGAGAUUCACUGCUGCUCAGCAUGGCUCAGACCAACUCAUGCUUCAUGCUGAUCUCCUGCCUGAUGUUCCUGUCUCUGAGCCAAGGAGGCCCAUGCUGAGUUGCCCAAGGCCCAGAUCAGCUGCCCAGAAGGCACCAGUGCCUAAGGCUCCCACUGCUACUACUUUAAUGAAGAGCAUGAGACCUGGGUUUAUGCAGAUCUCUACUGCCAGAACAUGAAUUCAGGUAACCUGGUGUCUGUGCUCACCCAGGCUGAGGGUGCC